rnacentral:rRNA from 1 species
UAAUUCCGGGUGCCUAUACAUGCAGUCGAGCGGACAGAUGGGAGCUUGCUCCCUGAAGUCAGCGGCGGACGGGUGAGUAACACGUGGGCAACCUGCCUGUAAGACUGGGAUAACUCCGGGAAACCGGGGCUAAUACCGGAUAACUCUUUUCCUCACAUGAGGAAAAGCUGAAAGAUGGUUUCGGCUAUCACUUACAGAUGGGCCCGCGGCGCAUUAGCUAGUUGGUGAGGUAACGGCUCACCAAGGCCACGAUGCGUAGCCGACCUGAGAGGGUGAUCGGCCACACUGGGACUGAGACACGGCCCAGACUCCUACGGGAGGCAGCAGUAGGGAAUCUUCCGCAAUGGACGAAAGUCUGACGGAGCAACGCCGCGUGAGUGAUGAAGGUUUUCGGAUCGUAAAACUCUGUUGUCAGGGAAGAACAAGUACCGGAGUAACUGCCGGUACCUUGACGGUACCUGACCAGAAAGCCACGGCUAACUACGUGCCAGCAGCCGCGGUAAUACGUAGGUGGCAAGCGUUGUCCGGAAUUAUUGGGCGUAAAGCGCGCGCAGGCGGUUCCUUAAGUCUGAUGUGAAAGCCCCCGGCUCAACCGGGGAGGGUCAUUGGAAACUGGGGAACUUGAGUGCAGAAGAGAAGAGUGGAAUUCCACGUGUAGCGGUGAAAUGCGUAGAGAUGUGGAGGAACACCAGUGGCGAAGGCGACUCUUUGGUCUGUAACUGACGCUGAGGCGC